CCUGGCGGCCUUAGCGCGGUGGUCCCACCUGACCCCAUGCCGAACACAGAAGUGAAACGCCGUAGCGCCGAUGGUAGUGUGGGGUCUCCCCAUGCGAGAGUAGGGAACUGCCAGGC
rnacentral:rRNA from 1 species